UUCCUUUUUCUGUACACUUCCUGAAACAUACACAAAUAAAAUCUGUUCUUAUCAGCUUAACGUCUGAUACACCCCCCCAUGGGGGGGUUCAAAUGUUAAUCUAAUAUUUGGAAACUAGGCGGAGAGUUUGGGGCUUGCUCCUACUCCGCCGCGGGUUGUCCCGGUAUCGCACCGGCACCGGGAACGGCCCAUUAUAA